CAGGCCUAACACAUGCAAGUCGAACGAUGCUUUCGGGCAUAGUGGCGCACGGGUGCGUAACGCGUGGGAAUCUGCCCUUGGGUUCGGAAUAACCGUUAGAAAUGACGGCUAAUACCGGAUGAUGACGUAAUUCCAAAGAUUUAGCGCCCGAGGAUGAGCCCGCGAAGGAUUAGCGAGUUGGUGUGGUAAAGGCGCACCAAGGCGACGAGCCUUAGCUGGGAUGAGAGGAUGAGCAGCCACACUGGGACUGAGACACGGCCCAGAUACUGACGGGAGGCAGCAUUGGGGAUGAUUGGACAAUGGGCGAAAGCCUGAACCAGCAAUGCCGCGGGAGAGAUGAAGGCCUUGAAGGGUUUGAAAGCGAUUUUGAACCCGGGAAGAGAGAAAGACUAGGAACCGGGAGAAGAAGCCCCGGCGAACGCCGUGC
rnacentral:rRNA from 1 species